AGUGAACGCUGGCGGUAGGCCUAACACAUGCAAGUCGAACGGCAGCACCGUAAGAGCUUGCUCUUCCGGGUGGCGAGGGGCGGACGGGUGAGGAAUACAUCGGAAUCUACUUUUUCGUGGGGGAUAACGAAGGGAAACUUACGCUAAUACCGCAUACGACCUACGGGUGAAAGCAGGGGAUCUUCGGACCUUGCGCGAUUGAAUGAGCCGAUGUCGGAGUAGCUAGUUGGCGGGGUAAAGGCCCACCAAGGCGACGAUCCGUAGCUGGUCUGAGAGGAUGAACAGCGACACUGGGACUGAGACACGGUACAGACUCCUACGGGAGGCAGCAGUGGGGAAUAUUGGACAAUGGGCGCAAGCCUGAUCCAGCGAUACCGCGUGGGUGGAGAAGGCCUUCGGGUUGUAAAGCCCUUUUGUUGGGAAAGAAAAGCAGCAGGUUAAUACCCCGCUGUUCUGACGGUACCCAAAGAAUAAGCACCGGCUAACUUCGUG
rnacentral:rRNA from 1 species